AGCGAACGCUGGCGGCAGGCCUAACACAUGCAAGUCGAGCGGACCCUUCGGGGUUAGUGGCGGACGGGUGAGUAACACGUGGGAACGUGCCUUUAGGUUCGGAAUAACUCAGGGAAACUUGUGCUAAUACCGAAUGUGCCCUUCGGGGGAAAGAUUUAUCGCCUUUAGAGCGGCCCGCGUCUGAUUAGCUAGUUGGUGAGGUAAUGGCUCACCAAGGCUACGAUCAGUAGCCGGUCUGAGAGGAUGACCAGCCACAUUGGGACUGAGACACGGCCCAAACUCCUACGGGAGGCAGCAGUGGGGAAUCUUGCGCAAUGGGCGAAAGCCUGACGCAGCCAUGCCGCGUGGAUGAUGAAGGUCUUAGGAUUGUAAAAUCCUUUCACCGGUGAAGAUAAUGACUGUAGCCGGAGAAGAAGCCCCGGCUAACUUCGUGCCAGCCGCCGUCGUAAUAC
rnacentral:rRNA from 1 species